rfam:Oryza glumipatula chromosome 1, whole genome shotgun sequence.
AAUACUUGUCGCUUUGAGUUUUUGUUUGUAACUUUUGAUCAUUCAUCUUAUUCAAAAAAAUUUUGGAAUUAUUAUUUAUUUUGUUUGUGACUUGCUUUAUUAUCAAAAGUACUUUGAGUAUGACUUAUCCUUUUAUAUAUUUGCACUAUUUUUUCAAAUAAGACUAAUGGUCAAACGUUGCAAGAAAAAAGUCAAAGCGACCACUAAU